rnacentral:tRNA from 1 species
GGGGGCGUAGCUCAGUUUGGCAGAGCGCGGCGUUCGCAACGCCGAGGUCAGGGGUUCGAUCCCCCUCGCCUCCACCA